GUUAGUUCUUCGGAAGGGAUUGGCAGUUACAAACACAAACCGUCUAGAAAAAGCAAGUAGUGGAUUACAUUCACCCAACAGCAAUAUUUCAACAGAGACUUCGUCUAAGCAAGUGAACAGCAAUCUCCAAUCACCAUGAAUAAAGUUCUGCUGAUUGUGCUGGUGUUGGCUGUGCUGAUGGGCCUGACAUGCGCUAUGCCACAGGUGAUCAUAACACGCCAGAGAAAAUUCCCCGGAGAGAGGCGCCUGGGUACUGUGAACUAUGGCCAGUACCGCUUCGGCAAGAGAGGGUAUCAGAGGAAGAACCAUUCUAGAAAGAACUGAGAAGGAAAAUACUAAAAAACGACGUAAUUUGUGGGCAAUGACCCCCCGCCGACCAAAGCCUCCUUGGGGGAAAGGGAAGGGUAGAAAGAGGGGGGAAGGGAGGGGAAAGGAGGCUUUGGUAAGUAGGAAGUAAACAAGAUCACUCCGUAGACUUUAGUAGGCGCCUCGGCAACCGUUGAAGACAGACCAUAUAAGUCGAAACGCUCCGUGGGUACGAAUUAUCAAGCAAUACAGUCGCAAGCAAAAGGCAGAGAGGAAGACACUUGAAGCCAGUGACUGCAGGCGAGAUAUGACGAGACCCUGAUCGCUUCGCUAACACCGCUUUUUCAUCAUAUUCCUAAAGGGUUCAUUGUUAUCCUACAACACUGAAGACUACCUGAAGUGUAUCUAAAGUCUUGAAGUCUGAGAGUCUGAAGUUUGGUUCAAAGUUUGGGUUCAGAAAAUUGCUGGGACUUCAGUUUCAGUCUGAAGUUUGGCUCAAAGUCUGGGUUCAGAAGGGUGUUGGACUUCAGCUUCAGGAUAGAAUGAUUGUGUAUAGCUGAAUGGUAAUAUUUAUAUAAUAGCAGAGCUUAUAAUGACUGUCUGCUGAAUGCCUAGUGAUAUUUUGUUGUUUUGUUUACUGAAUAUUCUUGAGUGUGUAUGUUUUAUUUAUCAACACUGUACAGAAACGAAUCACAAGUAUUCGAUAUUAUUUUUGCUAAUAGAUUGUUAUUCUUGUUAUGUAGUUACAUAUUUUAUAUAGUUAUUAAACGGUUGACUAUUUUGUAAAUACUUUAGCGCUGUAAAUUAAAAGUAUUUUCUUAUAAUAUAUAUAUAUUUUACUAAAGGACCGAAGAUACAAAGUUUAUGUAAUAUUAAUAAAUCAAUGACAUGCUGAAUUUUGUAGCUAUCAUGAUUAACGAUUUAGAAAAUUCCAAAACGUAUUAAUCACGAAAUAAAUGUUAAAAUAUGAAAAACAAAGAGAACGAUGAUAAAUAAACGAAUAAUAAAAAAAGUAAAUAAAGGAAAAUCCACAAUG